rnacentral:rRNA from 1 species
UACAGAGGUCCCGAGCGUUGUUCGGAUUCACUGGGCGUAAAGGGUGCGCAGGUGGGUUGGUAAGUUUGGUGUGAAAGCUUCGGGCUUAACCCGGAAAAUGCAUUGAAUACUACUGAUCUGGAGGGUUGGAGGGGGGACUGGAAUUCUUGGUGUAGCAGUGAAAUGCGUAGAUAUCAGGAGGAACACCUAUGGCGAAAGCAGGUUUCUGGGCCAUCACUGACGCUGAGCUGCGAAAGCUAGGGGAGCAAACAGG